rnacentral:rRNA from 1 species
UGGCGGCCUCGGGUCCAUCCCGAGGCCACGCCCGUCUGAGGGUCGGCGAGUCAGACAAGCUAUCGCCUCCUUUCUUGGCAGCAGGCUUCUCCACAAAAAGCGUUCGAUUUCCCGAUCAUUUCCUUGCUCUGGAGUGACGACGAAUCGUUCGCUAGAAUGUGGCUGGGGCCGUGGAGGUGCUUUGGGUUUUCGCGGAUUACUUGUGAUCCCCGUGACUUUAAGUGUAUGUUGCGUCGUCUGUUCUCUCCUAACCGACGCCGCCGGCCAUUGUGCUGGACUCGGAUUGAUCGGAAAUCAUCGAGCCGCCGGUGUGCUGUAGGCUGCGGUGUGUUGGAAGGAAUGAAGCUCAUGGCGGCGCCCAGAUAAAGCAAAGCAGCUACGCGUGCCCCCGCACAGCGCCGCUGGCUUUUGUUUCAUAUAUCCGACCUCAGAUCGGACGAGAUUACCCGCUGAAUUUAAGCAUAUAACUAAGCGGAGGAAAAGAAACUAACAAGGAUUCCCCCAGUAACGGCGAGUGAAGCGGGAAUAGCCCAGCACCGAAUCCCUCAGUGUCAUGCUGACGGGAACUGUGGUGUGUGGGACGCCACCAGUCGCAUCAGAGGGCGCCGAAGUCCUCCUGAUCGGGGCUUCACCCAGAGCGGGUGUAAGGCCUUUGCGGGUGCCUCUCUGUGCGGCCGCGAGCGUCUCAGGAGUCGGGUUGUUUGGGAAUGCAGCCCAAAGCGGGUGGUAAACUCCAUCUAAGGCUAAAUACUGGCACGAGUCCGAUAGCGGA